AUGAUUGCUUUCCGGGAUGUGUUGGAAGCUUGCAACUUAUCUGACCUAGGCUUCUCUGGCUAUCCAUUCACAUAUGAUAAUAAACGCAGUGGGCGUGCUAAUGUGCAAGUGAGACUUGAUAGGGCAGUGGCUGAUAAUACGUGGAGAAAUAAAUUCCCGGAGGCAUCGGUGAAGCACUUGAUUUCUUCCUGUUCAGACCACCUCCCUCUCCUCGUGCGAUGUACGCCUGAAUCCGGCGGCAGGGUGAGGUGUGUACGGCGUUAUGAAGUAAUGUGGGAACGUGAUGAGGCUCUUGAGGAGGUUGUGGCAGAUGCUUGGCGGGAGGGAGGUACAAAGCAUGGCCUACAUGAUAUCAAAGUAUCCUUGGAUAAGUUGAUGGGUAAACUUCAUGGCUGGAGCCGCAAGAAAUUUGGGAACGUAGUAAAGGAAAUUGAAAAAUCCAGAACCCGGUUAGAGGAUCUAAUGAACAUGAAUGCAGACCGGAAGGAAAUCCGGAAAGAGUUAGAACACCUAGACGAAUUAUUGUACAGAGAGGAGAUGUUGUGGCGCCAACGGUCUCGUAUUGAUUGGCUCAGAGAGGGUGACCGUAACACGCAGUUUUUCCAUCAACGAGUUGUUUGGCGAGCAAGGAAGAACAAGAUUAAAGGGCUAGUGGAUAGUACAGGUGUGAAGCAAACAUAA
rnacentral:rRNA from 1 species